ACUUCCUUUCCAAACAGCCCAUAGAAACUAGAACUGCUCUUUUCCAAAAAAGUGGCUGGAGAAAUGCUCACCACUCACUCAUGGUGAAGUCUCUAUGUUGGUUGCCUGAGUUGCGCUCAGACUUGUGAUUCUCCAGCCUCAGCCUCCUGGACCUCCGGGAUGACAGCUCUCGAUGUUUCCAGGGUGAGGAUGGCGAGAGGAAGGAGAAAAAGGAAGAACUGGAAUACAGAAAGCUGAGGCCCUGUGCAGCCCCCCUCCUCUCCUGAUGGGAAGCACAAAGCCGGAAGAGAAAGAGAAGGGGCGAGAGGAAGAAACAAGAGCUCCAACGGCUGCAGCGGCUUAUUUAUACAGUGGGAGGCUGAGUGUCACAUGAGACCUCUCUGCCUGCGAGCUUAUCCCCAUGGCUCGUCUGGGCACCCUGUGUCCUUGAGAUUACAGCAGUGUAGCCACGUGAUUCGCCUCAGGGGUUCUCUGUUCUUCAGACUCCUUGCUCUGGCCCCAGACGUAAUCAAUCUUCAGCUUCAGCUCUUCCCACACCUUUACCGGUGGUUUGUUUCUUUUUUCUAACAGCUUUCAAUACUCUGUUCCUGUUGAAUUUCUGAAAUCUUGACUAUAAUGUGCCUUGUGUGCUCUCUCUUUCUCUGUCUCUCUGUCUCUUUCUCUAUACACACACACACACACACACAUAUCUAUCUAUCUAUCUAUCUAUCUAUCUAUCUAUUUAAGUAGGGGGAUCAUGGUUAAUUGGAGUUCUCUAUGUCUCACUUAUCUGUAUGUCAAAUUCUUUCCAGUUUGCAAAGUUUUCUGCCAUGACUUUAAAAAAAAAAAUGUCAUUUGCAGUUUCUCCUGCUUUUUCACUGACUCCAAUCAAUCUUAUGUUAUUCUUUGCAUCAUCUAGCAGCUGUUGGAUUGGUUUUCCGUGCUCCCUUGCUAUUUUAAAGAAAUCUUUUCACAGUUGCUAACUGCCAUCCUGUCUUUUAGAUCUGUUAUUCUCUCCUCACAUGGAGUCAUUGUGCUGUGUACACUUUCAGUGGAAUUUUUAACCUCCUGGAGAGCUGUUGGAAUCUGUUUCAUGGACUUCAUUUCUUUCCUAUGCUGGGCAUUCAUGGUUUCCAUCAUUUCCCUAAGGUCUAGUUUUUUAAAUCUGCACUGGCAGGGGCUGGGGCUUUAGCUCAGCAGCAUAAGCGCCUGCCUUGCAAGCAGGCAGUCAUGAGUUCAAUCCCUGGUACCUGCACUGGCUCGAGUCUCUCACCCUGUCUUGCAUUACGGUCACCAUUCCCGUAGUUCUCUGAGAAAUUAUUUCCGGUUUGAUUUAUUUUAGAGCCUCCUUCAUCUGCUUUGUUACUUCUGUUGUCACCACUUUAGGAAGAGCCCCAGUGUGGAUUUUUGUAUUGUCCCUCUCACUGUCCUCUGGGUUUGUCUUUGUUGAACUGGACAUCUGGGGUCGCAUGUUGGUCUUUUCCUUUUCUUAAAGUUUAAUUCCUGAGCUGAUGCACGUACUUGCUUAUGGCGGGUAGAUUAUUGUUAGUACUGAGAACCCUUAGGAAACGACUGCUUCUCAGUGAUGUCUUCGA